rnacentral:rRNA from 1 species
AAUGAACGCUGGCGGCGUGCUUAACACAUGCAAGUCGUGCGCGAAAGCGGCUUCGGCCGCGUGUAGAGCGGCGAACGGGUGAGUAACACGUGGACAACCUGCCCAAGAGUGGGGAUAACCUGGGGAAACUCGGGCUAAUACCGCAUACGUUCGUGGGGCUUCGGCCCUGCGCAGAAAGGUGGCCUAUGCUUGCAAGCCACCGCUCCUGGAGGGGUCCGCGUCUGAUUAGCUAGUUGGCGGGGUAAUGGCCCACCAAGGCGACGAUCAGUAGCCGGCCUGAGAGGGUGAUCGGCCACACUGGAACUGAGACACGGUCCAGACUCCUACGGGAGGCAGCAGUGGGGAAUAUUGGACAAUGGGGGAAACCCUGAUCCAGCAACGCCGCGUGGAGGAUGAAGGUCUUCGGAUUGUAAACUCCUGUUA